GAAGACAACUCUCAACAACGGAUAUCUUGGUUCCCGUAACGAUGAAGAACGCAGCGAAAUGCGAUACGUAGUGUGGACUGCAGAUUAUGUGAACCAUCGAAUCUUUGAACGCAAAUUGCGCCCGAGGCUUCGGCCAAAGGCAUGUCUGCCUCAGCGUCG
rnacentral:rRNA from 1 species